GGGGUUUGUAAACAUCACAACACCCACUAAUCGUCCUCUCAUCAAUAUCCGCAUCCUUAGUAUUGCCGGUAUAGCUC
rnacentral:tRNA from 1 species